UGCUCCCAGGGGCGGGGUUUCCUGCGUGACGUCACCAAGACCAUUCACUAUUCACUCCCAGUUUCCCACCCUCCUUCCACUGCAGAUGCACUCCCUGAGACUCCUGAGCCAGAAUCCUCCAUCUCAGAUCUUCCAGAGCCUCAGCGGUAACAGCCGGCCCCUGCAGCCCUUGGCCCACAGGGCACUGAGGGGCAACAGGGACCCCCGGCACCCCGAGAGGCGCUGCCGAGGCCCCAACUACCGCCUGCAUGUGGAUGGUGUCCCCCAUGGUCGCUGAGACUCCCCUUCGAGGAUUGCACCCGCCCGUCCUAAGCCUCCCCACAAGGCGAGGGGAGUUACCCCUAAAACAAAGCUAUUAAAGGGACAGAAUACUUCCUGUUU
rnacentral:lncRNA from 1 species